rnacentral:lncRNA from 1 species
GUUUAUAAACACGUGGCUGACUUGUUCUUAUUUUACAAUAAUAAUAAUAGACAUGGAGGCCCCGGAGCUCUAAAUCAACUAUGUAUUUUAUUUCUAUCUAUAUUUCCAGGCACUGGCCUAAAACAUGAAAGGUAUUCAGUAAAUGGAUACUUACCAUGACAGGAUCUAACCACUGGUGAGUUGCACAAUCUGUUACUGUGUCGUAGUCUGGAAACUCAUUACAGAAACUUGAUUUCAAGAAUCCAGGCAUAGUGUAGAUAUGUUCUCUGCUUCAAAAAGAAUGGGCAG